UACGAAGGGAGCUAGCGUUGUUCGGAAUUACUGGGCGUAAAGCGUGCGCAGGCGGUUUUGUAAGCCAGAUGUGAAAUCCCCGGGCUUAACCUGGGAAUGGCAUUUGGGACUGCAAGGCUUGAGUGCGGCAGAGGAGACUGGAAUUCCUGGUGUAGCAGUGAAAUGCGUAGAUAUCAGGAGGAACACCGAUGGCGAAGGCAGGUCUCUGGGCUGACACUGACGCUCAUGCACGAAAGCGUGGGGAGCAAACAGG
rnacentral:rRNA from 1 species